rnacentral:rRNA from 1 species
UAUGAUCCAGAGUACCACGGGACACGUGAAACCCUGUGGGAAGCAGGAGGGACCACCCUCCAAGGCUAAAUACUACCUAGUGACCGAUAGCGUAUAGUACCGUGAGGGCAAGGUGAAAAGAACCCCGGGAGGGGAGUGAAAUAGAACCUGAAACCCUGCACUUACAAGCUGUGGAAGCACAUUUCUUGUGUGACCGCGUACUUUUUGUAGAACGGGCCAACGAGUUACGUUAAGUAGCAAG